rnacentral:rRNA from 1 species
AUUGAACGCUGGCGGCAGGCCUAACACAUGCAAGUCGAACGAGUGGCGGACGGGUGAGUAAUGUCUGGGAAACUGACCGGUGGAGGGGGAUAACUACUGGAAACAGUAGCUAAUACCGCAUACCAUCGGAUGUGCCCAGAUGGGAUUAGCUAGUAGGUGGGGUAACGGUUCACCUAGGCGACGAUCCGUAGCGUGUCUGAGAGGAUGACCAGUCACCCUGGAACGGAGACACGGUCCAGACUCCUACGGGAGGCAGCAGUGGGGAAUAUUGCACAAUGGGCGCAAGCCUGAUUCAGCCAUGCCGCGUGUAUGAAGAAGGCCUUCGGAUUGUAAAGUACUUUCAGCGAGGAGGCGUUACUCGCAGAAGAAGCACCGGCUAACUCCGUGCCAGCAGCCGCGGUAAUUC